rnacentral:tRNA from 1 species
GGGCGGUUAGCUCAGCUGGUUAGAGUACUAGCUCGACACGCUAGGGGUCACUGGUUCGAAUCCAGUACCGCCCA